rnacentral:rRNA from 1 species
GGGGGAUGCCUUGGCUCUCAGAGACGAUGAAGGACGUGUUAAGCUGCGAUAAGCUACGGGGAGCUGCACAAAAGCAUUAAUCCGUAGAUUUCCGAAUGGGGCAACCCAACUGAUAGAAGAUCAGUUAUCCUGUAAAGGAAGCAAACCCGGAGAACUGAAACAUCUAAGUACCCGGAGGAAGAGAAAACAACAGUGAUUCCCUAAGUAGUGGCGAGGGAACGGG